GACGAACGCUGGCGGCGUGCUUAACACAUGCAAGUCGAACGGAAAGGCCCUGCUUUUGUGGGGUGCUCGAGUGGCGAACGGGUGAGUAGCACGUGAGUAACCUGCCCUUGACUUUGGGAUAACUUCAGGAAACUGGGGCUAAUACCGGAUAGGAGCUCCUGCUGCAUGGUGGGGGUUGGAAAGUUUCGGCGGUUGGGGAUGGGCUCGCGGCUUAUCAGCUUGUUGGUGGGGUAGUGGCUUACCAAGGCUUUGACGGGUAGCCGGCCUGAGAGGGUGACCGGCCACAUUGGGACUGAGAUACGGCCCAGACUCCUACGGGAGGCAGCAGUGGGGAAUAUUGCACAAUGGGCGGAAGCCUGAUGCAGCAACGCCGCGUGCGGGAUGACGGCCUUCGGGUUGUAAACCGCUUUCGCCUGUGACGAAGCGUGAGUGACGGUAAUGGGUAAAGAAGCACCGGCUAACUACGUG
rnacentral:rRNA from 1 species